UAUGAAAAACCUAAUUUAGGAAUAUUUUGAUAGAAUAUUUAUUGUAAUCUUUUUUACUUUCAUUU
rnacentral:tRNA from 1 species